rnacentral:rRNA from 1 species
UAUUGCACAAUGGGCGCAAGCCUGAUGCAGCGACGCCGCGUGAGGGAUGACGGCCUUCGGGUUGUAAACCUCUUUCACCCAUGACGAAGCGCAAGUGACGGUAGUGGGAGAAGAAGCACCGGCCAACUACGUGCC